GAUGAACGCUGGCGGCAUGCCUAGUACAUGCAAGUCGAACGAGAGGAAGGAAAGCUUGCUUUUCUGAAUCUAGUGGCGAACGGGUGAGUAACACGUAGGUAACCUGCCCAUGUGCCCGGGAUAACUUCUGGAAACGGAUGCUAAAACCGGAUAGGUAGCAGACAAGCAUUUGACUGCUAUUAAAGUGGCUAAGGCCAUGAACAUGGAUGGACCUGCGGUGCAUUAGCUAGUUGGUGAGGUAACGGCCCACCAAGGCGACGAUGCAUAGCCGGCCUGGGAGGGCGGACGGCCACAUUGGGACUGAGACACAGCCCAAACUCCUACGGGAGGCAGCAGUAGGGAAUUUUCGUCAAUGGGGGGAACCCUGAACGAGCAAUGCCGCGUGAGUGAGGAAGGUCUUCGGAUCGUAAAGCUCUGUUGUAAGAGAAAAACGACAUUCAUAGGGAAUGAUGAGUGAGUGAUGGUAUCUUACCAGAAAGUCACGGCUAACUACGUGCCAGCAGCCGCCGUAA
rnacentral:rRNA from 1 species